AUGAAGAUGAUGGCAAAGUAACACCUUCCGGAAAUGCAUCCUUUAAUAAUUGAAGAAGCAUGGUAAAAGACUUGCUGGACCACCCAUUCAAAUAUUUCAAAUGUAAUAAAUGCAGAAGAAAAGAAAUUUUCGUAAAAUUCUUACAACCCGGAUACAGUUCUUGAUCACAAUCUUUCACCAAGUUAUCAUAAUGAGCUGUGCCAUCAGCUGGUAUAGAUUCCUCAACAUGCAUGGACUGAUCAAUAACUGCACGCUCAUUUUCUCCUACAGUUCUGAUAUUAUGUCCAAGAGCAUCUCUAAGUAGGCCCCUUAUAUCAUCUUCUUCUACAGAAUUUUGUUCCGUGUCACUACAUCCAAAAUUGAAGGUGUCUUCU
rnacentral:lncRNA from 1 species